CAGGCCUAAUUACCAAUGCUGAGGGGCAAUCCAGAGGGCAAAGUCUAAGAACAGAGCCAAAGCAGGGGCAGGAGCCAGGAAACAGAACUGCAGGGAAA